rnacentral:rRNA from 1 species
GACAGAGGGUGCAAACGUUGUUCGGAAUUACUGGGCGUAAAGCGCAUGUAGGCGGCCCAUCAGGUCGGAUGUGAAAUCCCUCGGCUCAACCGAGGACGUGCAUUCGAAACCGUUGGGCUUGAGUUCCGGAGAGGGUGAUGGAAUUCUAGGCGUAGAGGUGAAAUUCGUAGAUUUCUGGAGGAACACCGGCGGCGAAAGCGGUCACCUGGACGAGAACUGACGCUGAGAUGCGAAAGCGUGGGGAGCAAACAGG